GUAUACAAGAGUAGAGCCCAAUAUCUCUACCUCGACACUCCCAGUGGGACUUGGUCCGGGUUCAGAGCAUCAGAGCAGAAAGGCAGGCCUGCAGGCACCUGUCCAUCAUGCCAGCCCCCAGAGUGUACCGCUUCCCGCAGAAGAUCAGCCGCACUGAGAUCAUCUUGAGAAGCCCCCCGAUGCCAAGACAGACCCCUCAGGUGCAGAAUGGCCCAUCACCAGAGGAGCUGGAGGUGCAGAGAAGGUAAAAACCAAAGUUACAGACACUGACUGCAGUAAACCAUAUAAACUUGGGUUAAUAGCUUGAAUCACAAUGACAUCUACAAAACACCUUGCACCCCAUGAAAGAACACGUGCACUCACAGAUUACGAGUUGACAUCUGCAUGUGUGAUGGUGAGAAUAUGAACCAGGUGAACUCUCACACUGAUAGAGCAGCAAUGUAAUGUUAAUGUCUGUUGGACUAAGUUCAGUUAAAUCGCCACUUUGAAGCCCUGAAUUCGCUUUUUCAUGAGCGUGUUUUAUCAAGAUUUCUGUGGACUUCAAAGGAUGACGGAGGCUGUUACUCAUCACCCUGGUCUCGUUAUCGAAAAGAUUUUCUGCAGCGAGUUCCCAAAGGAAGCAGCAGUCAAGGUUGAGGCUGCUUGACUGGAAUAUACAUGCUCAAAGCUCACUACUUGCUUAUCAGAGUUUUCUUUCAAAUUUUUGCUUUAAUAAUAGAUUGCCAUUGAUGCAGCUAUUGCAUCUCUAUUGGUUUUCAUUGCAGUAAUGCUUUUUUUAACAAAGGAGCAGAAAGGCUAUGAAAAUCCUUCUGCCCAAUUUUUUCUUUUGUUUAAUGUAAACGACAGAUCAUUCACAUUAAGAGUUGAGCCUUUGCCUCGACGGAGAGCAGAUCUUCUACAGAUCUGCUAUGUGAGUGUUUCUCCCUCAGUGAUGCAUCAUUCCAUGAGACGAACCCAAGGGAGUCUGGGAUGCUCUGUUGAAUACGGAAUAUGA
rnacentral:lncRNA from 1 species